AGCAGCCGCGGUAAUUCCAGCUCCAAUAGCGUAUAUUAAAGUUGUUGCAGUUAAAAAGCUCGUAGUUGAAUUUCGGGAUCAAUAUGUUGGUCGUGCCUUGGUACGUACUAAUUUAUUGGUUUCUUCCUUCUGACGAACCAUGAUGUCAUUAAUUUGGUGUCUUGGGAAUCAGGACUGUUACUUUGAAAAAAUUAGAGUGUUUAAAGCAGGCUCACGCUUGAAUACAUUAGCAUGGAAUAAUGAAAUAGGACGUUUGAUUCUAUUUUGUUGGUUUCUAGGAUUGACGUAAUGAUUAAUAGGGAUAGUUGGGGGCAUUAGUAUUCAAUUGUCAGAGGUGAAAUUCUUGGAUUUAUUGAAGACUAACUACUGCGAAAGCAUUUGCCAAGGAUGUUUUCAUUAAUCAAGAACGAAAGUUAGGGGAUCGAAGACGAUCAGAUACCGUCGUAGUCUUAACCAUAAACUAUGCCGACUAGGGAUCGGAUGAUGUAAUUUUUAAUGACUCAUUCGGCGCCUUACGGGA
rnacentral:rRNA from 1 species